UUGGCUAAUCCUGGUCGGACAUCAGGAGGUUAGUGCAAUGGCAUAAGCCAGCUUGACUGCGAGCGUGACGGCGCGAGCAGGUGCGAAAGCAGGUCAUAGUGAUCCGGUGGUUCUGAAUGGAAGGGCCAUCGCUCAACGGAUAAAAGGUACUCCGGGGAUAACAGGCUGAUACCGCCCAAGAGUUCAUAUCGACGGCGGUGUUUGGCACCUCGAUGUCGGCUCAUCACAUCCUGGGGCUGAAGUAGGUCCCAAGGGUAUGGCUGUUCGCCAUUUAAAGUGGUACGCGAGCUGGGUUUAGAACGUCGUGAGACAGUUCGGUCCCUAUCUGCCGUGGGCGCUGGAGAACUGAGGGGGGCUGCUCCUAGUACGAGAGGACCGGAGUGGACGCAUCACUGGUGUUCGGGUUGUCAUGCCAAUGGCACUGCCCGGUAGCUAAAUGCGGAAGAGAUAAGUGCUGAAAGCAUCUAAGCACGAAACUUGCC
rnacentral:rRNA from 1 species